rnacentral:rRNA from 1 species
GUCCUUUUGAUUUUUAUAUAAGGUCUGACCUGCCCUAUGAGUAUUUAAAUGGCCGCGGUAUACUAACCGUGCAAAGGUAGCAUAGUCAUUUGUCUCUUAAUUGGAGGCUUGAAUGAAGGGUUGGACGAGAUAUAAGCUUUCUUUGUUAUAUUUUAUUGAAUUUGACUUUUGAGUUAAAAGGCUUAAAUUUUUUUAUAGGACGAGAAGACCCUAUAGAAUUUUAUAUAUUUGUAUAAUUGAUUUAUUUAUUUAUUAUUUAAUUUCUUGUUUAAAUAUAUUUUGUUGGGGCGAUGGGAAGAUUUUAAUAACUCUUUUUUGUUUUGAUCAUUGAUUUAUGUUUUAUUCUGAUCCUUUUUUAGAGAUUAUAAGAUUAAAUUACCUUAGGGAUAACAGCGUAAUUCUUUUGGAGAGUUCUUAUCGAUAAAAGAGUUUGCGA